rnacentral:tRNA from 1 species
CGCAGCGUAGCUCAGCGGAAAGAGCACUCGCUUCCUACGUACAGCAAUGUGCGGGCGAGAAGGUCGCAGGUUCGAGUCCUGCCGCUGCGU